CUUGUAUAACUGUAAUGUGAUUAAUAGUAAAAUUAGGAAUUUUAUCUUUUGUUUCAUAUAAUUUAAAUAAUUCUUUCAAUUUAAAAGCAUAGGUAUUUUUCAUUAAAUAAAGCAGUUAUUAUUAUUAAAGAUUUUUAAAGCAGCUAAGGGAGAUUACUCAUUGUUAUGCAUUCCUUAUAGGACUGUCACAGCUACAUGUGUAACAGCUAGUAUAUAAUCCAGACCUUUUGACCAUAUUAAAGGGUCUACUAUAUUAUACUACUCUACUGUUACCAUGGUUACUAUUAUUUAAUAAAAUACAACAAUGAA